ensembl:lncRNA
AUCAGAAAGGGUUUAAACAACAUUUUCAAGCUUGUUUAAUGAACAAUAAACAUUUAUUGCACAUGCACCUGUGGAUCAGUCCUUGAUAAGACACUUAGUGUUCACAGACAGCACAGUGAUAGUAACUUGAGACAGUACAGAGAUCAGCGUGUGUGUCUGUGUGUGUGUGUGUCUGUGUGUGUGUGUGUGUGAGAGAGAGAGAGAGAGAGGACUCUGAUCUGUCGAGGGUCAUGUCCAGCUGUGAGAUGCUGUUACUGACUCCAGCAUCGAUAUAAACCUACAUGUGAAGAGCAGUUUGAGAACGGAGGACACUAUAGUAUACAAAUAGCUUGGAGUCAGUUGCACUAACAGAAUACUGAAUCAUUACUGUUAAUUAAGAAUAGGGUGAAGCGUUAAUAAAUACAUAUGCAACAAACGGUAUUGAAGGAUACGAAAUAAAUAUCCAUCUUUUUUAGCAAAAUUGAUUUUCUGAACGUGUGCAACUUCAGAUUCAUCUGCUGCAAUAUGAAAAUACUUGAAGAAUUGAGUGUCGUAAACUGUAUAACAAUUUGCACUACAGACCAGCGUAUUAAUAAUGACAAUUCAUUAAAAUAUCAUGGUAAAACCCAGGUUUUGUAAUAUUAAACAGCUGUUUUGAACAGCUAAAAAUAACUGGAAGUGCAUGAGAGCGGAAGCCAGAUCCGUUCAGUUCACAAACGGCCGUUCUGAUAGAAAUCAGGUGGACACAAUCUAUGAAAUAAAUCAUAAUAUCAUAUUGUGUCAUAUAAAUCAUACAAAUAUCAUAUCAUAAAAAACACUGCUUAAUAUUUCAUGCAUUUUCAUUUACUAGGCAUGUUUUUGUAUUCCAAUCAGAAUGAGCAAUUAAAGCUCGGGAAUACAAAAACAUGCAUAGUAAAUGAAAUAUGAGACAGUGUAAAUUGAAACAAAUUUUGUUAAACAAAAACAAUCUGUAUGAUGCACAGGAUUGAGAGUAAAGUGCAGCAUCAGCAGAUUCUCUGGGAAAGAAGCUCUUGUAGUGUGUUUGUGCUCAGACGAGUGUAAAAGCUUCCAGAUCAGUAUUCUGAUGAUGAUGAUGAUGAUGAUGAUGAAGAUGAUGGACUUCAGUGAUGAAGGGUUCGAUGUGAGAAUCUUGUAACAUCAGAAUCAUUUUCACAGGUUUGGGUCUUAUUCCUGACCUCCAUUUCUCUCUUUCCUCGUUGUUUGCUCAUCUGUGGUCUCUGAUGCUCCUGUAGCUUUUUGUUUGCUUUAUUUUCUUUUUACACUCCAUUCGUAUCUGGAAUCGCACAAAUGCAGUUUAAUAAAAAAGCCAGCUGUGUUUUACAAUAUGAAACGAGGAAUACAGAGACGUACACUGUUAUAAUACAAG